CUUUUCUCUUGUCUGUUUCAAUAUCAGCUUUCACAUGAAUGAUUGGUUUUUUUCUUUCUUUCUUAUUUAUUUGACUGUUUCUACAAAAAUGCUAUGGUUGUGUAAAUCAAUGUCUAUAAUUGCUCAGGGCUGCCACAGAGUCGGAUAAUUCCUCUUUGAAUGGUGAAGAGUAUGAUAAAGUGUCAUGUGCAGUACAGCAUCUGCAUGCAUUACUGCAUGAUUAAAUUAUGCUUUUGCAGCUUUGUGGUGUUAUCUAUGCUAUUGCUGUUUUACAACUGUUGCUUUUUGUGGUUUAUUUUAGCUUGUUUUUAAGUUUCUGUUUUAAUUGACUAUUUGUUUACUGUCCUUAUUGUUGAUUUUUUAUGACACUGACCAACUGAGUGUUGACCAUGACUUUAUUAUUAUAAUUUUUUUUUAAUGCAAACAUUACGGUAAAUGAUCUUUCAAGACUGGAAAUUAACUCUCAG
ensembl:lncRNA